GGGGAAUCUUCCGCAAUGGACGAAAGUCUGACGGAGCAACGCCGCGUGAGUGAUGACGGCCUUCGGGUUGUAAAGCUCUGUUAAUCGGGACGAAUGGUUCUUGUGCGAAUAGUGCGAGGAUUUGACGGUACCGGAAUAGAAAGCCACGGCUAACUACGUGCCAGCAGCCGCGGUACUACGUAGGUGGCAAGCGUUGUCCGGAAUUAUUGGGCGUAAAGCGCGCGCAGGCGGAUUGGUCAGUCUGUCUUAAAAGUUCGGGGCUUAACCCCGUGAUGGGAUGGAAACUGCCAAUCUAGAGUAUCGGAGAGGAAAGUGGAAUUCCUAGUGUAGCGGUGAAAUGCGUAGAUAUUAGGAAGAACACCAGUGGCGAAGGCGACUUUCUGGACGAAAACUGACGCUGAGGCGCGAAAGCCAGGGGAGCGAACGGGAUUAGAUACCCCGGUAGUCCUGGCCGUAAACGAUGGGUACUAGGUGUAGGAGGUAUCGACCCCUUCUGUGCCGGAGUUAACGCAAUAAGUACCCCGCCUGGGGAGUACGACCGCAAGGUUG
rnacentral:rRNA from 1 species